UAUUAAAUAUAAUAAACUUAUAUUUAAUACUCAUAAUUGAUAUUUAAACAUUCGAUAUCAUUACAUAGACUAAUUACACAUAUGAAGGCUAAAAAACGAGACAGAUUUAUUAAAUAUAAUAAGCUUAUAUUUAAUACUCAUAAUUGAUAUUUAAACAUUCGAUAUUCAAACAUUCGAUGUGACACGAAAUAAACUUUAGUCACCCCUAAGCCUUACCCAAACAGAGCGCAUAUAGCUUGUCAUGAACCUUUCUGCGCUUCAUUGUAAUUGGCCUUCACAUGGCUUCUGAGGAAGGCAAUCCAUUCAAUCAGUGAUCAUUACAGCAGUAACGACACAACUGAGAUCAGAAUUUGUUCAUAUAUGAAAUCACGCAAACCAACUCGUCCGUCAGACCAGAUUUGACCCCAAAUUGUCUCAAACCAACAAAACACUCACUCAUCAGACAACCCAACGCCACAGCCAACGAAAUCAGCAAUUCAGCAGCAGUAACAGAGAAAUCUCAAGUGUACAAGGAAUCCAGGUCGGGCCGGCCGGAGACCCUGGCCGCGGCCUUGCCGGUGUCGACGCCGAGCUCCGCCGCCACGCGCCGCAUGACCCCGAACUCCGCGGGCCUGGAGUCCGCCGGCCACGUCACCACCAUGCUGGCCGCCUUGCCCCGGAUCUCGCACUCCGCGAGCACGGCGGCGCCGAGCCCGUCCACCACGCUGCCGGGUGGGACCAGAGCCUGGACUGCCUUGGCAGCCCCCACGCCUCCCCGCGCGCGCGCCGCGCGGGUCUCCAACUUCCCUUCCACGGGCUCGUCCGCGGCGAGGCGGCCCCGGUACGUCCCGCUCCGGACCGCGUCCAAAACCAGCACCUCCUCCGGCUGGAGCCUGGAGACAAGAGCCUUCGCGGCGGCGCGCGCGCGGUGGGCGGGGAAGGCGCCGUGCGCCGCGGCGAGGAGCGCGCCGGAGGGGUGGAGGUACACGCGCAUGGGCGCGUGCGGGAGUAGGGGCAGGUCCGGGAGGAGCAGGGAGGCGAGGAGCGGCGGCGGGGAGGCGAGGAGCGCGAGGGAGGUGGGGGAGAUGAAUACGACGAGGAGGCGCGGGGCCGGUGGGCUAGGGUUCGGGGAAACGACGAAGAUGGGGGUGGGCUGCGCUGGCGGAGCGGCGAAGUUGUCGAGGUCGUCAGGGGAAAAGCGGGAAGGCGGCGGCACGU
rnacentral:lncRNA from 1 species